rnacentral:rRNA from 1 species
GUCUACGGCUAUGCCGCCCUGAACGAGCCUGAUCCCGUCUGAUCUCGGAAGCUAAGCAGGGUCGGGCCUGGGUUAGUACUUGAAUGGGAGACCACCUAGGAAGACCAGGUGCUAAAGGCA